UUUCUGCCCGAGAGACUGGCCCCCUUUCCAUCUCAAACGGUUGGAUCCAUAGAGCCUUUUCCUCCCUGACGUCAUUUUCAGUGUUUUUGACGUCAUCUCUCCCUUUCCAUAGGAAGUCCUAACUGACAGUAGGAACUCUACAUUGUUGACUCCUAGAAUAAAUUUGUUCAACAUUGUAAAGGCCUGCCUCCCACUCCUCCACCAACCCCACCACAAAUCGAUUUGCUACCCUUUGGAUGCCAUUCAUCUGUAAUUCCUGGCUGAGCUUUCUGUGACAUGUUUGCUGGUUUAUCAAGAGCAGUCCUAAAGAGGGGACUAAAGUGACACGGAACUGUGAUAUACUGCCAAGAGGUACAGGAACAGGCCUUCCUAGAAGUGGA
ensembl:antisense Rbm3os RNA binding motif protein 3, opposite strand